CUGCUAUGGACCAGUGUGAGGACAGAGAGGAGGGAGUCCCUCCCUCUAAACGCUCUCUGUGUGGGGAACAUGACAGCCAGACCAAAGCUCAGAGGAUGCAGCAGCAGAGAGCAGACUCUCCUGAACCCAGCUGUGUGUCCAUGAAGAGUGACGACUCUAUGGAGCUUCCUAUGAAGUUUAGAGAUGGACGACCUGCUGAUGGAAGUAUCAGGAUGCAGCAGCAGAGAGCAGACUCUCCUGAACCCAGCUGUGUGUCCAUGAAGAGUGACGACUCUAUGGA